CAGUAGCCACGGUAAUACGUAGGGUGCAAGCGUUAAUCGGAAUUACUGGGCGUAAAGCGUGCGCAGGCGGUUAUAUAAGACAGAUGUGAAAUCCCCGGGCUCAACCUGGGAACUGCAUUUGUGACUGUAUAGCUAGAGUACGGCAGAGGGGGAUGGAAUUCCGCGUGUAGCAGUGAAAUGCGUAGAUAUGCGGAGGAACACCGAUGGCGAAGGCAAUCCCCUGGGCCUGUACUGACGCUCAUGCACGAAAGCGUGGGGAGCAAACAGGAUUAGAUACCCCUGUAGUCCCUGUCUUUUAUAU
rnacentral:rRNA from 1 species